AUUGAAUGCUGGCGGCAGGCUUAACACAUGCAAGUCGAGCGGGGUGAUGGUGCUUGCACUAUCACUUAGCGGCGGACGGGUGAGUAAUGCUUAGGAAUCUGCCUAUUAGUGGGGGACAACAUCUCGAAAGGGAUGCUAAUACCGCAUACGUCCUACGGGAGAAAGCAGGGGAUCACUUGUGACCUUGCGCUAAUAGAUGAGCCUAAGUCGGAUUAGCUAGUUGGUGGGGUAAAGGCCUACCAAGGCGAGGAUCUGUAGCGGGUCUGAGAGGAUGAUCCGCCACACUGGGACUGAGACACGGCCCAGACUCCUACGGGAGGCAGCAGUGGGGAAUAUUGGACAAUGGGGGGAACCCUGAUCCAGCCAUGCCGCGUGUGUGAAGAAGGCCUUAUGGUUGUAAAGCACUUUAAGCGAGGAGGAGGCUCUUUUGGUUAAUACCCAAGAUGAGUGGACGUUACUCGCAGAAUAAGCACCGGCUAACUCUGUGCCAGCCGCCGCAGUAACAC
rnacentral:rRNA from 1 species